AGCGUUCCAAGCAAUCCAACAAAGAAGUUGGUGGUCCAGAGCUAUCCGAUCCUGAGGCACCUGCUGCUGGUCCAAGAUCUAAUGAUAUAUCCCAGAAAGGAUCGAUCGUCGUAGACACUCCGCUGGAAUGAUCAGACGACAUCGCUCUGGAGACCACCGGUGAAAAUUUGAUCUAUUAUACAGUUGCAAUGAUGCGGAUUAUCCUUAACGAGGAUUGGCGCAGCCUCACAGUGCCUAUGAAGGACAUCGAGUGUCGCGAUAAAGAACUCGUGAGCGUCUUGCUGUUCGUAACCAGCCAAGUGUCUGGCGUGGGUCCAAAUCAAGUGGAGUAGCUUGUGAAGUGUCAAGGGCGCCUUGCUACCGGAGUAGAACUCCUGAAAGAGGUGAGACACUUCGCAGACUAGGCAACGGCUCGGUUGAGGGCAGUGAUGACGAUCAGCGAGGAAGUAGUCUCGGAGAAGAGCAUGCUCCUGUAUGUGACCCUUGACAUAGCAGCCGAAGAAUAUACAAUGUAGACAGGAGUGUAGACGAUCCUUGUAGGUUUUACAUGUAUGACACAAACAGCUUACUGCCUGUAAAAAAAAUACCAUGAUUUACCGUGUUCUAGAAAAUUCGCUGAUAUUGAAAUAUUAAGUAGUUUGUUAAAUAAAAUUAAUCAUGAGCGUGGACAGUAUCGUUGAUGAAAUAUAAUUAGAAUUACGUAUAAAAAUGAAUAUAUAAAAAAUCUGCCAAGUGUCAAAGACUAGAAAGCUAAUGCGUGCGAAUAUGAAAACAUCUGAUUUGACGAAAAUGAGUAAAAGUGAUUGUACUCUAGAAAGAUAGGAAAAUAAAAUAAGAUAAUACAUU